GACGAACGCUGGCGGCGUGCUUAACACAUGCAAGUCGAACGGAAAGGCCCUGCUUUUGUGGGGUGCUCGAGUGGCGAACGGGUGAGUAACACGUGAGUAACCUGCCCUUGACUUUGGGAUAACUUCAGGAAACUGGGGCUAAUACCGGAUAGGAGCUCCUGCUGCAUGGUGGGGGUUGGAAAGUUUCGGCGGUUGGGGAUGGACUCGCGGCUUAUCAGCUUGUUGGUGGGGUAGUGGCUUACCAAGGCUUUGACGGGUAGCCGGCCUGAGAGGGUGACCGGCCACAUUGGGACUGCGAUACGGCCCAGACUCCUACGGGAGGCAGCAGUGGGGUAUAUUGCACAAUGGGCGGAAGCCUGAUGCAGCAACGCCGCGUGCGGGAUGACGGCCUUCGGGUUGUAAACCGCUUUCGCCUGUGACGAAGCGUGAGUGACGGUAAUGGGUAAAGAAGCACCGGCUAACUACGUG
rnacentral:rRNA from 1 species